UCAGAGAAGGCGAGAGAGACCGGAGAGGAUGCCGGAUCUCCGAGCUGCAAGAGUAGGUGGCGAAAUUCCCAUGCAAUUGUAGUUUCUGACUAAGUGAAUACUAGUAGCUCAAAGGGUAAGAGCAUGGUUUCUGCUGAGAAUUAAGAAGGUUGGGGAAGCUGGAAAAGUAAAUUUGUCAGUCAUCAAGUUUACCUUGGAUGUUCCAAUUAUAUUUUGAUGGACAUGUUAGACUAUGUUUUUUUUAUAUAAUUAUAAGUAAUUAUGUAAAGUACUUGUAGACUAUAUAUACCUCUAUAAAGAGGAAAGUGUGACUAUGUAGCCAGCAAGUAAGUGCCAAUGGCUAUAGGGUGGUAGAUAAAUGUUUAGCCAUUACUAUGACAUCAAAUAUUAACGGUUUAGUAGAAGAAACUUAUCGAUAUUUGAGCUAGGGAAUUAACUAGAUGUUUGAACUAA